GUUAAGGCAAAGCUUGGAAAAUGAACAAUCUUUACUCCCUUUGUGUGAAUAAAAUUAGACUUUUGCUGCUGUUUGUCUUGCUGUGAAAGGAAAUAUGAAAUAAAUGCACAUUGUGAACUGAUUACAAACUAAGGGACAGGCUGUGUAUUUUUUUCUUUUUGCCAUUAAACUUAUUUAAAUGCUUCCCUUUCUCGAGUUAGCGAGGGCAGUCAUGACUCAAACAUGGUCGCAUGAGCGUUUAAUAACCAUAAUAUUAAUUACAGUCAUAAAUCGCCUGAAUAAUCAUACUAAGUGCUUUUACUGCUUUCAGUAAUUACAUCUAUUUCCUUCAGCAUCUUAACUGUUGGCUGAGUUUUUGUUGGGAAUCAGUAAACCUCGGUCUAAAUGAUGAAAUCUGCCCCGUAGCACAUCUCCAUGUGAAUUCCAAUUCCUGAGUCGGUGCGUUUUCUCUCCGUCCUUUGACUCUGAAGAAAUCCUUUUAUGUUGCAAUUCGUUCAAGAGCGGGGUCUUAUUUUGUAAACUCAAAGAGAAAUUCUUUGCAGAGAAAGAAAAUUGGACACAUCAAAGAACGAGGCUGCGACAUUUAAUCACCAAAUAACUCCUGAGUGCCUUGAAGAUCACAGAUACAUGAUUUAUUGCUGCAUAACAGUCUCUGAGGACAGAUCGGUCCUUUAAGAGCCUUUUAAAAUGUUUUUGUAUUGCUUCUCACUUAAUAAAACCUGCUGGAAAUGGCCAGUGUCGGCGCGCUGAAUGGAUUCAAACAGUUUUUAGGAGUUUCACAAGGUCAGCAGUAGGAGUUAGGACACUUAUACACACACUCACGCUGGAAUCUAUAAAUCCAAGCAUGUCGGCCUUGGUGCAGUAAAACCAGCAGUCUCUCUUUCUGUCUCUUUAUCAUUCCUUACAGAGUCGUCACACACCUCAACACAUUCGUCCUCCAUCCUCUCUUUCUUACCUUCGGCUUCAUUCAGCCUAUCCAGACCUUGGAGAGAAUCGUAAUUGUAUGCAGUCAGAAUGUCUGGGGAAAAAAAGAAAAAGUAUAAGGUGCACUUGAGUCCUUUUUUUUUUCAGAAAUUGUGCUGCAUGCUUCUUGCGAGAUAACCAAGUUGACUUUCUCAAACUUGUUCAAAUAUUUCAGCCGAUGCUUUGUCGGGUAUGAAAACUUUUCCUGCACAAUGACGGCCAUGCAUUUUUUGCUUCAUAAUACAAAGAGUUUGGAGAGUUUUUGACAAGCCUGGAGGUCAUUCAAGUUCUUCAGCUCAAAAAACUGGGGCUGUGUCUACAUGUCAGACUAUUUCUGGGUAUGCAGUCUAGUGUCCCUAAAAAGGAGGCCCAUUUCUUGAGGAUUCUGCACCUCAAAAUCACAGUGCUGCUGCAUAAAGCAAUAUUCUCUGACUUUAAUGGUUAAAUGUGGAGUUUUGCCAUGGCCAAAAUCCUCCAUUACCUAAACCACGACCUGGUUUUCACGCAAAUAUUGCAGAAAUUGGGAAUUAUAAAAUAGCAGCCAUCGGGGGUGAAAAAGCAAAUUCUGAAUAUAUUCAGGGGUUUUGCAAAAAUCCUCCCCUCUUUCCUGUGAAGUUGUAAGAAUGUCAAAGCAUGAAACAUAGAUAAAUCAAAAGUAUUCAAAGAGAUUGGCUUGCUAACUAAAUCGGCUUUUUGCAGUUGGUUGUCAUCCUGCAAUGAGGUGCGAAGGAAAUCAGGGAAGGCUGCAGGGUUGGUUGCAAAUGUAAGAAUGCAGUUGUGUUCAAAUAAGCAUCGAAAUAACCAACUUUAACGCCCCGCUGAAACCACACCCUUUGACCUACUCUCAAUCUUUUUAGAGUAUUUCACCCUUAAUGUGUCAAAAAUGGGCGUACCAAAUUUGGAGAUGAUGAGAUGAAACCUUCAUAUAAAAGUUCACUUUAUCCUGGACCCUUUAAAAAUAAAACCGACUGUUAAAAUCGACUAAUUUUUCUAGAGACCUCCAUACAAUCGGACUUUAUUUCAAAUCCAGUGGCUAUUUAAGUUAAAACAAUACCAAACCCCAAUAUUAGAUGUUAUUCCUUAGAUUUUAUUUCCAUAUUUUGUGUCUACAUUCAGACCAUUCAAAUAUAUAUGACUUGUUAAAACUGGGUGACUUAUUUUAAUGGUUGGCGUGGUUUUGAUUGGGCUUUACCGUCAUGAAAAUCCAGUUUCCCCUCAAGUCUCUCCCCAAGCUGUAAACCUGAACCUAUAAGAGAAGCGGGUCUUUCCCCUAGAGUCCUAUUUCCUUCCAUCCUCAUCAUAUAUCCUCCCUUCCCUCUUGUCCACACUUGUCUGUGUACAGUUUUAUUUUUACAAGGACAUAUACAGCCCGGGUGACAUACUGCCAGCAAUUUCUUGUUGACUUGUAUCUCCGUUGUUGGCCAAAGUGGUGGUGCUCCAGUAACUGUCAGGUAAUAUGGAUUUAAGGUGGUAUUUAUUCUGGAAAACUGUGAUUUUUGUGUGUUUGUAAUACUCGUCCUGCCAGCUGCUUCGUCAAAUACCUGCUGUCGGUAAAAUUGAAGAAGAUGUAGUGCUGCAGGAAAAGAAAAAGAGCGCGUAGGAGAGGUUGAAGGAAGAGUUUAUCUAUGUGUAGAACAUGAUAUUUUCUUCACUUUAAGACUCCGGAGCUGCACUGCUGUCAACAUGAUGGAUAAUGUUUUAGGGCGAGGUCUCCCGGGAGUGAUCUGUUGUCUGUACAAUCAACUGUGGAGAGCCGAGACGGGAGGAGAAAGAGAGAAUGAGAGAAACUGACAGAGGGCAGCAGACAGAACCACUCCUCAUUACAGCCAAAUCCUGCUGGGGGUUCACCAAACUGGGGCGAUUUGAAGUUGAAAGUUUAAAGAAUUUCACUGUCUCCGUCUCGGUAACAAGGAAAGACACGCACACACACACACGCGCAUCUCCAGUCGAUGCACACACUCACUUGGCGCCCUAGCUACGGCCUAUGGGAACUCAUUAUCUUCCCAGACGAGCGGUGCCACAAGUCGCCAGGUCGGUCUCUUGCCACCGUGUCACUUUGGGUUCCAGUGUAUGGGUUGUGGAGACAGUAGGGGUGGGAAGAGGACUGAAAGACAUGGUGACAGUUGACCCAAGGGGGUUUAAAAUGGUCUUUGGGGGCAUCGCUUGGUGUGUUGGUGGAAAGUUUUCUCGAGGGGAGGUUCUAAAAGUGUCAGUCCUGGUAAACAGAAGUACGGCUAGCUGAUUGGAAACAGACCCAAAUGAUUCGCCAGAACCACGACACGCUGUUAAAUCCUUCAACUUAAUCCCCAGUCAGCUUGAAGCCUCAUUUUGAUAUCCUCAAUAGAAGAAUAUUAAAGGCAUGGUUGACGAUCUGAUUCCUCGCUUGGUCACAUUUCCUCUUCGACUCUGCCCUUUUUUCUGUCGGCUUGCGUCUUCUUUCUACUUUUACCCGCUCAGAGCUCCGAGGAGGGCCGGGAGAGUGGGAGGGGACGAGUCGGAACUACGGGAGAGGGGUGUGUCAAACACAGCGAAGUGAUUGGAUGGAGACGCGGAGCGGGAGAUUGAACAUUAGGAGCUGUCUGGGAUGCAAUAUUUUAUUUGAAGGACAGUAGGGGAAAGUCCCGCCUCCUUCGCUUCUGAUUGGCUAGAAAAGCUGGAAACGUCGGCUCUGUACAUCGAACAGAACAUUACAGAACAUUAUCGCACUUCUGAAUCUCCUAACCCGAUAGAUGAUGACAUUUCACAGCCAUUUGGAAUAACCAAUCAGAGCAAAGCACUUCUAGCCAAUCAGAGGCGAAGGCGGGUGGGACCUUCCCCUACCAUCCUCCAAAAAAAAAAAAUCCUGUCCGGGAUGGAUGGCGCCCAUUGGUCAAUGUUUUUGCCAUAGGACCAUGAUCGCCAUGUAAACGAGGUUCGUAAUAAUUACCAAUCCCUCCAAUCGUCAACCAUGCCUUUAAGGGUUAAAUCAGUCCUUCUGAGAAUUUAACCUUUCACCUUUACCGUUCCCUUCGAUAGGACAUCCACCUCAAAUUCCUUGAGAGUCUGGCAGGUAAGUGACAGGUAAACCUGCUAUCUCAGGAGCAGCAGCAGUAAGCGUUAAUGCGCUGACCCUGGAUGGAGGUUAGCAGGUCAUCCACUCACCGCUGCACAGAUGAUCUACGCACCGACUCGCCGAAAUAGGUCGAUGGCAUAAACUAAAUCCAAUAGGAAUAUUGCUUUUCAUUGAUUUUUUAUCCACCUUGGGAUAAUACACAUAUUUCAGCGACCGUGUGUGUGUGUGUGUGUGUGUGUGUGUGUGUGUGUGUGUGUGUGUGUGGGCGCAAAUGCAUAAACACAUGAUGGAUAAAACCACAGAUGAUUGGUCGUUACAGUGUGUGUUGACUAAUGCCUUCAUCAUGGGCGCCAAUGGAAACGUAACUCUUCCCGGACAUAUAGGAGACAUAAUACAGUAUAAGACUAUAACUUAGAGCGAGUGUGUUAUUAUUAGUGUGCCGGGUGCUCGCUCGCCCGCCCGCCCGACCGCUGCAGAGAGAGACAGAGGAGAGUUAUUUGUUAAAUGCCACCACGACUGUACCGGGGUCCUAAUUGGAUUUCCUCUCUCGCUCAAAAUGUCCCCUCGACUUUUAUGGAUAUGACCUCUGAGUCGGUCACAUACACAAGCAGUCUUACACCGGGACACACACACAGAGACACGUAUUUGGCAAAUGUUUGACUUUCGCAUGCAGGAAAAAUACAUUCAAAGACUACAAACGGCGCAUUUUCAAGAGAUGAACUUCAUUUUAAUUUCAUAUUUAGGCUUAGUAUUUGUUUAAGGGUAUCAAUUAAAAUUAGAAAUAAACAAAAUGAAAGUUAAACUACGAUUGAAAAUACAUUAAAUCAAAUCUGACAGCCCCGCGUCUCAAAAAGAGCCAUUCAGGAACCCAUUAGAAUCAGUUCAUUAAAAAGAUUCGUUCAAAAUAUCUGUUCACCGAAUCACCGAAGAUUAAGCGCUUGACGGGAGGAGCCUGUGACUUUCUGAACGGUUCAGGAUUCAGUUCAAUUCAUGGCGUCUGGGACCGGUAGACAAGAGUGUUGUGACUGUGUUGUUUUGACAAACAGAUUUGUAAAAAUUGACUCAUUUAUAAAUCACGAGGUUUUAAGUGGACUGCCCAGUGGUUUGCUAGUUGUCUACUUGGUAAAUUGGGCUCAGUGAGUGAUUCGUUCAUUGAACGUUCAGAAGAAUCCAAACUGAACAUGCACAGUUCCCUCGCAAAUCGCUGCAAUGACAGGAUCAGUCACACAUUUCUCAAACUGCAGGUUUUAUACACGACUUGAUACAUGCUGUGUCCUACUAAAUUUGUUAGAACAACGGGGAACAGUGGUCAUAUAAGUGUAUCCCUCAAACAAAAAUGAUUCCAGAGAGUGGUGUUCACUGCAUGAUUCGUUCACCAAGUGAUUCAGGCCUCGGUGCGUGCAGACCCUCGCUCACCUGACAGCUCAACUGAAGUGAGAAACGAACGAAUCACGACAAAGUAAUUCCGUUCAGUAUGCUCACUUAAAAGAUUUGGUUCUUUUGAAUGAAUCGUUCGCGAACAACACAACACAAAAUGGGAUAAUACAUUCAUGAAUCUCCUGUUCUGGACCUUUCUUAAGCUUUAUCACAAAGUCCAAACAUUGUAACAAUAUAUGUAACAAAAGGAGUUCCACAAGGGUCUAUGUUGGGACCACUGGUAUUCAUUCUUUAUAUGUCUCUCGUCCAAACUUUCACUCUAUGCAGAUGACAGAGUGAUGUACUGCUCUAUAUAGACUUAGCACUUUCACGUCCUCUUCCCUUUCUGGUUCUGAGCGUUAAAACUAAACUUUUUAUACAAUUUCCAACAACUAUUGAUCAGUUUGAGUUUAUAUUUCAUACAGCUCCACUUUAGGGCCAAAACAACGACUCCAACUUCUUUUCUACUCUCCCGUCUGCUUCGUAAAAUGACUCCUGACAUAUACAAAGUGUACUCUGUGCUGGUGAUGUACUGUUAAAAUGUCCUCAAAUCCUCCUCACAAUAUGCGCCUACAAUCUGGCAGGGAAGCAUGUUGUUUGUUCCUUUUUGUUCUUAUGUUUUAUCGCUAUAUGGCACCCGAAACUGCGUGAAAUCUGUGCCACGCACCUUGAACCCGAACUAGGGCAGAGACGCGCGGAAUGAAAUCUGCCUCGCUCUCUCUUUUGCAUACACAAAUAGAGCACCCCUUAUGUACAAAUCCACGACGACAACAACAACAACAACAACAGAAAUAAGAGGAAAAAAAAUCUCAUCUGAUGGAUAUGUUCUGCUGACUUUCAGUGUUUAUUCAUGCUGUUUUACUUGCUCUGCCUCAUCAUUCUGGAAAACAAACCUGUCCGCCUGUUUACAGAUGGCAGAGCUCAGAAUAAUCCUCAUCUACACCCACACGCGCUCGCUCCAUGCAUACCUUUUUUCCCUCUCUUCAACAUUUUCUACUCCUACUUUAAUAACCGCUCGGGCCUCCAAACUCCCACACAUCUGAAUCUAUAUAUUUGCCAUAUGUCUUUUAUCAUUAAAAGCCUGACAACUCGUCUAAAUCCAGAUGCUGGGACUCUGAUUCGUGUCAGAAAGUACACAUGCGAUAGAUCGGUUCAUUUUUUGUAAUUAGAGCUAAUUAAUGCUAACGAGGCUAUCAACGAGGAAUCAUGUGUGUCGGCACUGUUUAAUUACCGUAUGAAUAAAUAGAGCGGGGCGUUAACAUGAAGUCAGCAUAUUGUUAACUGUUUGUGUUUGGCCAACAUAGAUCCAGGAAAUGUGUUCAUUUACAUACAUGAUAAGGGACUCGCCCCGCACGGCUAUUAGCAUGUUAAUGGCGGCGUUUACUACACCGCCAAAAAAGGGGACAAUCAAACCUCUCAGCGGGUGUAAAAAUAAGCCGCCUCUCUGCAGUGAAGCGGGUUUUAUUUAUGAUUUAAAGCAGCUUUGCAUUGGGAAAUUUAGCGACAAUUCAAGGAGGGGGUAUUAAAUGCGCCUAAAUUAAUAAAAUCUCUCCACGGGGUUUUAAUGGCGGCUAUUUUCACCUCGAAUCAUCACUCCUUCUGUCUUUCUCCUUUCUCAAUGUAAGCAAAAAGGCAGAAUGUCACAUUUGAUAUUCACAACAACCUCCUCGCCCAAUCCCCCAGAGUCACCCGGCGCCAGAUGACGAGCAGGCUGCCAGGGGUCACCCGGCGAACCGGUCGCUCUCUACACACCCGCCGGUUCUCUGCGGAAGUGACCUAAUAACUGUGCCAGGCCUUCGCUGCGCCCCUGCCAUCUCUGCCCUCCGCUCGGCGGCCACAGAUCGUGAUCUCGCCCUCGUCGCCUGCCUUCCAGGAUUUCACCCCCCUCCCCCUGCUCAACUCUCAACCCUUCAUCUUCAUCUUCUUCUUCUUCUUCUCCCGCCUCGAGGAAUCCUCAGAUCCGCUCACCAGUUUUACGAGUUGGGAUUUUAUGAGCUUCAUCUACUUAUUUUUCCCCCUCUUCUUCUUCUUUUUCUCCCCGCCUCCUAACAGACGUUUCUCAGCUCAUUUCCAUCGGAUGCCCUACAGGGAAUCGCCGAGCGUAAAGUUGUGUCUCUCCCCAGCCGCCGCUCAACUUCUGCGCCCAUAAAGCAAAAUAAAAACGCGCUUUAGUGAUUUGUCAACUUGUGUCCUCGAGGGAGACGUAAUGUGGAGAUGGGCUAUCCUUGAAAUCCACUGUUUGGAGACGCUGCAUGAGCCAUCUUUCAAAAGUGUUCCUGAACAACUGGUGCGUUUGUUUGAAUGGGUGUGUGCGCCGCAGUGACAAGUGAAAAGAUGGUUCUUCCGCAAUGCGCAGGAAGUUUAAAGUGUAACACAGCCUUUGUCUGUAAUGAUGUGAAAAUGUGCACUAAGGUUUAAAACUUCCAUAACUUAAAUGUCAUGGCCCUGCUGUCUGAAAGAUGGUCUUGGUCUUUUUUUGUCUCCUUUUAUGUAUCCAUGUAAAUUAACAUACAUAAACUAUCAGUAUUGAUAUUAGUAUUGGCAAAAUCAUCACAGAAAGUAUCAGUAUUGCUAUCUGUAUUGUUUACUGUAACUCUGCUACAGAAAAGUGGUAAAAGUAUUGUUUACUGUAUCAGUAUUGAUGUAAAAACUGAAAUCUGUAUCUGUAUCAGUUUUGGUUUUAGGCCAAUAUACUAAAUUAUUAGAACAUGCAUGUGCUCUAACUGUAUAAUUAUCAAUGAAAAAGCUACAAAACUGAUAAGAAAGCAAUAAAAAGUAUUGGUACUGGAAUCAGUUCUGGUUGAAUUGAGGUAUCGGUUUAGAAAUAUCAGUGUGUAUUGCUUUCUUGUGUAUGUAUAAGAGAUACGAAAAUGAUAAAAUAAAAAAAAAUUAAAAAAGUUUCAGUGCUGGAACAUGUAACUGUAUGAGUAUCAGUGUCUGUUGAAUUGCUGCAAAAAUAUUGGUGUCAGUACAAAUAUUAGAAAAUAUGCAACAAAAGUAUCAGCAUCUGUGAAAUUACUACAAAAACAGAGGAUGUUUUGGUAAUUUUAACUAUAUCAGUAUCUAUGAAAAGCAAGAAAAGUAUUGGUAUCCGUUUAAGUAUGGGUCUAGGUAAAAGUAGUGCAAUCUGUAUUCAUCUUUAUAACUCAGAGAAAGAGUAUCAGUGUCAGUAAACAGAUACAAAAAUUUUGGUAUCGGCCUCAGUAUCUGUACUCAUAUUGCUGCAAUAGUAUUGGUUUAGGUCAAUAUACUUAAUAAGUAUCAGAACAUGCAUGUACUCUAAUUGUAUAAGUAUCAAUGAAAAAGCUAUAAAACUAUUAAGAUAGCCAUAAAAAGUAUUGGUAUUGGUAUCUGUAUCAGUUCUGGUUGAACUGAAGUAUCGGUUUUGUAAUAUUAGUACUGUAUUGCUAUCUGAAUAAAAGAUACAAAAGUGACGAAAUUGGUAUUUGUAUUCAUACUGGUAAAAUAGUUCCACAAAAUGAAGUUUCAAUGCUGGUACAUGUAUCGGUAUGAGUAUCAGGGUCUGUUAAGUUGCUGCAAAAGUAUCGAUGUUCCUACAAAUAUUAGAAAAAAAUGCAAUAAAAGUAUCAGCAUAUGUGAAAUUACUACAAAAAAGAGGAUGUUUUGUUCAUUUUAACUAUAUCAGUAUCUAUUGAAUAGCCACAGAAAGUAUUGGUAUCCGUUUAUAAAGUAAAAUAAGUAUGGGUCUAGGUAAAAGUAGUACUAUCCGUAUAUUCAUCUUCAUAACUCAUAGAAAGAGCUUCAGUAUCAGUAAACAGAUACAAAAAUGAUGAAACUGGAUUUUGUAUCUGUAUUUGUAUUCUGAGUAUCAGUAUCAGUAAACAGAUACAAAAAUGUUGGUAUCGGCUUUAGUAUCUGUUCUCAUAUUGAUGCAAUAGUUACAAAUAAUAAGGUAUCAGUGUUUGUAUAAGUAUAGGCAUUAGUAUCAGUUUCAGUUAAAGUGCUGUAAAAGUACCGAUAUUGGUAAAUUUACUGUUAUAAAAGCACCAGCAUUGUUAUCUGUAUUGGUAUCUCUAUAAUUGGCUAAAAUAUACCAGUAACUGAAGAAUUGCAUCAGAAUCACUGGUACAGAUAUCUGCUAUUGGUUAAAUUGCCACAAACAGUAUCAACACCAGUGUUAGUAUCGGUAACUGUAUCAGUAUUGGUAUCUGUAUCAGUACCAGUACAAUUGUAUUCUGUACUUCCAAAAGCUGGUGUCACACAUGUCUCUUGUGUAAAUAGGAUUUGCAAACCUGAUAUCUACGGUGAGCUCAAUAUCUGUCAAGCCCGUUUUAUGCACUUUUUAUUAUUGCUGUACUGUUUUUUAAAAUGUAGUUUCUCCUCUCUCUGAAACAUCACUCUUUAUUUUAUUUGGACCUUUUGGUUCCCUGUGAUAGGUCACUUCAAGUUCUCACUUCUGUGCCAAAAAAUCAGAGUCCCACUUUGUCCCUCUCAUCUAAAAUCAAGCCGCCCUCACUGCUGCACUUCAUCUCCUUUGUCACUCAGACAUGACUCCCCCUCACUCCUCCAUUGUUCCUCUCCUCUUCCUCGACCCUCUCUUAACAUACACCCGGAUGAACGACAGCUCCUCGUGACCUCCCGUUAUCUCCCAUCCAUUCCUGCUUCCCGGCCCCGCCUUCGCAUUCACACCCUUCCCAUUACCGUCAGUCGCCCCGCCACGUGCUGACCCCCUCCUUUUACCGUCCCUUACCGCUCGGACGGGUGGCAACAAUAGAGACAGGAGAGCCAAAAUGGCAGCCGCCCGCCCCUGUCUGGGGCGUCCCCUGAGGGGCCGGUCGCGUAUCUCCGCAGCCAAUCUUAAUGCGCGUCUUCCGCAACAAAUUGGCCAGUUUACUUAAGAGUCUGCUGUGGCCCAUGAAUAUUUGAUGUGGUCAGGGCUGCGGAGAGGUGGGAUACAAUGACAGGGGCUUAUCUUAUUUAGCCAGACAGAGGGGGUCGGAUCCUGGCCCGACCCGGAGUACUCCAAAGCUCUUCUGGGAUCUGGAAGAGCCCGAUCCAGGAGAAGAGUCUGAAAACAUCUUUUUGUCCCA
rnacentral:lncRNA from 1 species